UCAGGGUGGUGUGCCAGAGGAGCUGCUUGGCAUGCGUCAUGCCAAUAAGGGGCAUUAUCAUGUCACAUGACAUCCCGUUGAUACAGAAGUAUUGGCCAGACUAUCGUAAAGUUUCAGGGUCCUGGUGCACACGGGUUCACUAACACACUGAACACUCACAGAACACUCACCAGAUGGAACAGCCAGAACCACGGCUCCAUUUUCCUACCAGGACAAGUCAAAAUGGCUGCUGUGAAAAAGCCCCAUGGAAAACAUCUGGGACGUUCCCUGACUGGACUUCAUCGCUGUGUGAAUUUUGUCGAUGAGUAAUAUUUUCUUGAGACAUGGUUUCAAGACAAAUAUUUGACUGAAAAGAAAUAAAAAGUCAUGAUGAAAAUAUGCAACAAUGUCAACAAAAAUAUACUGAAUGAAAUUGUGAAAAAUAAACCAAACGAUAAAUGAA